rnacentral:lncRNA from 1 species
AGGCAACUUGAUUCGGGGGGAUAUGGCAGCUUCCACUCUGAGGUGCCCUUACUUCAAAUCAGGCCCAGCCCAAGAUCGUGUUUUCCCUAAGCUGGGCUCAUCAUCAGAGAGGUGGGGGCCGGGCCAAAUCUUAAAGAGCCACUUGGCGACUCUAACGACUGGCAAAGAGGAAAGAAAUUGGAAUUCUAGUAGCAUGUAUCCAACUGUUUCAAACCUCCACCUGCUACAUGGGCGUGGCUUCUGAGAUCGACAUGCUUCCAACAGCUUAUACAGAGUGAACGGCAGAUGCGUCCUUUGGGGGUGAUCUCAGGGACGUCAGAAAGUCCCUGCCU